rnacentral:rRNA from 1 species
AUUGAACGCUGGCGGCAUGCCUUACACAUGCAAGUCGAACGGUAACAGGUCUUCGGAUGCUGACGAGUGGCGCACGGGUGAGUAAUACAUCGGAACGUGCCCGAUCGUGGGGGAUAACGAGGCGAAAGCUUUGCUAAUACCGCAUACGAUCUACGGAUGAAAGCGGGGGAUCUUCGGACCUCGCGCGGGCGGAGCGGCCGAUGGCAGAGUAGGUAGUUGGUGGGAUAAAAGCUUACCAAGCCGACGAUCUGUAGCUGGGCUGAGAGGAUGAUCAGCCACACUGGGACUGAGACACGGCCCAGACUCCUACGGGAGGCAGCAGUGGGGAAUGUUGGACAAUGGGCGAAAGCCUGAUCCAGCCAUGCCGCGUGCAGGAUGAAGGCCUUCGGGUUGUAAACUGCUUUUGUACGGAACGAAAAGCCUCUUUCUAAUAAAGAGGGGUCAUGACGGUACCGGAAGAAUAAGCACCGGCUAACUACGUG